rnacentral:rRNA from 1 species
CCUACGGGAGGCAGCAGUGGGGGAUAUUGCACAAUGGGGGGAACCCUGAUGCAGCGACGCCGCGUGGGUGAAGAAGCGCCUCGGCGCGUAAAGCCCUGUCAGCAGGGAAGCAAAUGACGGUACCUGAAGAAGAAGCCCCGGCUAACUAAGUGCAAGCAGCCGCGGUACUCAGUAGGGGGCAAGCGUUAUCCGGAUUUGCUGGGUGUAAAGGGGGCGCAGACGGCGAUGCAAGCCAGGAGUGAAAGCCCGGGGCCCAACCCCGGGACUGCGCUUGGAACUGGGUGGCUGGAGUGCAGGAGGGGCAGGCGGAAUGCCUGGUGUAGCGGUGAAAUGCGUAGAUAUCAGGAGGAACACCGGUUGCGAAGGCGGCCUGCUGGACUGCAACUGACGUUGAGGCCCGAAAGCGUGGGGAGCGAACAGGAUUAGAUACCCCUGUAGUC